rnacentral:rRNA from 1 species
UACGAAGGGGGCUAGCGUUGUUCGGAAUUACUGGGCGUAAAGCGUAUGCAGGCGGACCGUUAAGUCGGAGGUGAAAUCCCAGGGCUCAACCCUGGAACUGCCUUCGAUACUGGCGGCCUUCGAGUCCGGGAGAGGUGAGUGGAACUCCGAGUGUAGAGGUGAAAUUCGUAGAUAUUCGGAAGAACACCAGUGGCGAAGGCGGCUCACUGGCCCGGUACUGACGCUGAGAUACGAAAGCGUGGGGAGCAAACAGG